rnacentral:rRNA from 1 species
CCAGACUCCUACGGGAGGCAGCAGUGGGGAAUAUUGGACAAUGGGGGGAACCCUGAUCCAGCGACGCCGCGUGAGUGAAGAAGUAUUUCGGUAUGUAAAGCUCUAUCAGCAGGGAAGAAAGAAAUGACGGUACCUGACUAAGAAGCCCCGGCUAACUACGUGCCAGCAGCCGCGGUAAUACGUAGGGGGCAAGCGUUAUCCGGAUUUACUGGGUGUAAAGGGAGCGCAGACGGCAGUGCAAGUCUGGAGUGAAAGCCCGGGGCCCAACCCCGGAACUGCUCUGGAAACUGUGCGGCUAGAGUACUGGAGGGGCAGGCGGAAUUCCUAGUGUAGCGGUGAAAUGCGUAGAUAUUAGGAGGAACACCAGUGGCGAAGGCGGCCUGCUGGACAGUAACUGACGUUGAGGCUCGAAAGCGUGGGGAGCGAACAGGAUUAGAUACCCGAGUAC